CAGCCGCCACGGUAAUGCGUGGGUCCCGAGCGUUGUCCGGAUUUAUUGGGCGUAAAGCGAGCGCAGGCGGUUAGAUAAGUCUGAAGUUAAAGGCUGUGGCUUAACCAUAGUACGCUUUGGAAACUGUUUAACUUGAGUGCAAGAGGGGAGAGUGGAAUUCCAUGUGUAGCGGUGAAAUGCGUAGAUAUAUGGAGGAACACCGGUGGCGAGAGCGGCUCUCUGGCUUGAAACUGACGCUGAGGCUCGAAAGCGUGGGGAGCAAACAGGAUUAGAUACCCGAGUAGUCCCUGUCUCUUAUACA
rnacentral:rRNA from 1 species